UGAUACCUUUAGUGUACACCAGGUCAGGCAGACUGUGUAUAACCCAUUAUGGAAAAUAUUAAAGAGAACAAUGAGGAUUAUGACAAACCUGCCAGAGAGAGGACUUUCAGAGGGAAGCAUCAAAUUCAAGAUAUGAACAGUAAAUCAGAGGAAGACAUUCUUGUGGAUGACUGGCUGACAUCCAAACAAGAUCUCUUGGACACAUCAGAUGAAGAGCUGAACGAUGACCUUUUGCGUAGUGAUGAUGAGAACGAAACUAUGAGAUGUGCCGAUGAAAGUGUUUCUAAACCAAAAGUUCAGGCGAUUGCGAAGCCUUACCUUGUGUGCAAAACUCCGCACCUUGCUGAAGACCAAGCCAGAUGUCCUAAAGAAGAGCAGACCGAGGUGGACCCUGGUGAAGUUUUAGACAUCGAAAUCAAUGCUCCCUCUGGAGAUGAAUUUCAACUUGCACCCUUCAGGCAAGUACGUUCCACCCACAGACGAAACCCUCCAGAGUCCUGAGUCACACCCUAGGUCUCUCUCUCUUUCUGAGCCCCCACAACACUUCAAGCCAAUCGGCACUUUCCUCAGGACCAGAAGAGCCCUCUUUCGGCAAGUGCCCUUGAUGUCUAUACAAAGCCUGGCCUGGCCUGCUGUGGUUCCCUUGAGCAUCCAAGGGAGUAGCAGCUGCUCGCUCAGUGUGUGUGUGUAUGUGUGUGUGUGUGUGUGUGUGUGUGCGCGCUCACAGACGGUGCUGUGUGUAUAUGUUUUCUACUGCUAUUAAUCAUGAGUGCCCUGGCUAAACACUGUUUGAGUUGAAUCUGUAAACAUUGAUAGGCGUCCUUGUGCAACUGGAAAGGUUUGAUAUGGGCUUUAGGCACAUGUUUAUUUCAUUUCUAGGGAGGAGGGGGACUUAAUGCUCAAUAGGAUGUGAGGUCACGGGCUAGGUACAUAUGCCCCAGCGUCAACAUUUCUAUUCAAAGUCUAAUUCGUUAUAAAAUGUCGUUCUUAAAUAUCUUUUCCUUAAAUUAGUUCUGCUGUACACAUGAGAUGUCAAGAAAUGAGUUUUUAUCAUGUAACCUGAACCUAAAGUUCAAUCUGUUUUCUUGUAAUCA